rnacentral:misc_RNA from 1 species
AAACACCAGACGGAUUGAAGAGCUUUGGAAGUGCACUUUGCAUGACAUCUAUAUCACUAGGAAACUAUGUGAGCAGCUUGCUGGUGACUAUGGUUAUGAAGAUUUCGACUGUGGAUCACAUGCCUGGAUGGAUCCCAGGAAAUCUGAACAGGGGUCACCUGGACAGGUUUUACUUCCUCUUAGCUGCUUUGACAACCAUAGACUUUGUUGUGUAUAUGGCAUGUGCUAGGUGGUACAAGUGUAUCAAGCUGGAAGGAAAAGCAAUGGAGAACGAUGACGAUGACGAGGAUAACUUCAAAGUCUGAUGUUUAGUAAACAUCAAUCGGACAAUAAUGCCUGAAGUACCACCUUAUAUAAAUAAGAGGGAGGCACGGGGUAGUGAUAAGUACCUUGUAGAGAGCAUCUGUUUGAAAAGGGGCUAAAAACAAUUGGGUGCUAUGAGAGUGCAGGGAACCUACUUGCUGUACUCUUAACACCUAAUUGUCCAUGUUCCUACAACACCCA